ACUUUCGAUAUUUUAUUGACGGAGUUGUGACAUCUUUAGUGCUGAGUUCGAGUUCCCGCUUUGUGACAUCGGGAAAACGCAUUUCCCAAGCCUGAAAUUAUCAUUAUAAAAAUGGGAGUCAUCAGGAAUGCACCACUGGUAUUUUUACCUUUCACACUCAAGCCAAAGAAAAUGGGUACUCUGUUUAAGCUGGCUUUUGGCGCGAUAUUACCUGGUUUUGGGCCUAUAAUUUUCAACAAAUGGAUCAUUCCUAAAUUGUUUGGCACUUUAAAAACAACGGCAAUUAUUCUAUGGAAAUUGAUAGUGCCAGUGUGACGAAUAAAUCCAUCCAAGGGACUCAUCCGACACUAAGAUGUCACUGAAAAGAGCAAUAACCUCAGUUCUUCCGUUGUCGCACUUUUUCCCGUUUUUGCCCGUAGCAAUUAGUGUCUUGUACGGAGAACUCGGCAAUCUACUCUUUUACGUACCUGUGUUUCCUUUCAUGUUUCCACUAUUAAAGUUUCUCCACAAACCCCUGAAGGUCAUCGCAGUUGCUGUUAUUUAUCUUCAAUUGAGUAUCGGUUUAUUUAAUCUGAUUAUUAAACCAAAAUAAAGAAUUAGUAUAUCCUA